rnacentral:lncRNA from 1 species
GGACAUGGGGACAGGGUGUGGGGCACAAGAACACUGUGGGGACACAAGGACAGGCUGUGGGGCACAAGAACACUGUGGGGACAUGUGGGGCACAGCCCUGGCUGCACGCCAUCCCUGGCAGUGCCACCUGCCCUGGUGGCACCAUGGCUGGGGUCACACAGCACGCCCCAUGGGACCUUCACUCCCGGCCCUACAGCACUUGUAGGGCACAGAGAACAUUCCAUACCAUUCCAUGGGGACAUUUACAGGUUUAUCCCAGCCCUACAGCACUUGUAGGGCACAGAGCAUUCCAUGGGUACAUUUAUAUGUUUAUUCCCAGCCCUACAGGUAUUUGUAGGGCACAGAGCAUUCCAUGGGUACAUUUAUAUGUUUAUUCCCAGCCCUACAGGCACUUGUAGGGCACAGAGAACAUUCCAGACCAUUCCAUGGGUACAUUUAUAUGUUUAUUCCCAGCCCUACAGGCACUUGUAGGG